AUGCAUGAUCAGGUCGGCCUGGACCUGGACGGCUUCCCACUCGACCACGAGUUUCCGGAGGACUACGGGCAAGAGGAAGAGGACGAGUGCGACAUCGAUGGGGAGCCUUUGUUCGAGGACGAGCUCGCCAACCAAGCCGCCGGGGCGAAGCCGAAGCGCAAGAGCAAGUGGACCAAGGCAUACACGGCGGCUGAGGACAUGCUUCUUUGUGAGUGUUGGAGAGACAUUGGGCAAGACCCCAAGACGAGCGCCGAACAAAAGGCAUCAACCUUUUGUAUUCGUGUCCACCGUGAGUUCCAUGAGCGCAAGAAGUUUCCGCCGUACCAAAUAGUAAGCACGCGCGGGUGGGUGUCCAUUUCAAAGCGAUAG
rnacentral:rRNA from 1 species